CUCGGCGGGGCAGGGCUGGCAGAGCGAAUCGUCAUUCCAAAUGAAAAGAAAACACGAUUUCUAAGAAGUGUUUAGGAGGGUGCGCAGCGGGGCAUAUUUUCUUUCUUACUGGCAAGGGUUUGUAACUGGAUCCCUGAACAUUGCUGAGAACAUGAAAACAUGAAACAAAAGUAUUGAUCCAAGAAUUCGCAGAAGAAAAGGAUCCAAAUACACACGGGUUUGGUCGAUUCACAUAAUUCAACCCAACGCAUUUCCAAGACGAUUCCCAGCGUUACCAGACUCUGUGCUCGGGAAACCUGAGCAGCCCCGAGGUGAGCACUCCCCUCCCGCCCGCACAGCGCAGCACCACCAGCACUGUUGGCACAGGACGGUUGUUUAUUAUCUCAGCAAACGAUGCGCUCUGCGCGUCGUCGCGUCCUACGGUCACCCGCACGCACAGCCCCGACUCACGCGUGGCUGUCACCCCGCAGCCGGGAAGGGAGAAACUCGCCGCUCCUCAAAGCCCGGCUGCGGGAACCCCCUCUGUUCCCCGGUGUUUACACGGGAAUAAAUCGAGGAGGUAAAAUGUUCUGCACCUCUGCCCGCACCGCUGGGAUACGGAAGGGCGGCGUUCGGCAGCUUUCGGAGGGGCGUUUGUUGUUACCCCGAACAACGGGACCGGGCGCGGUGGCGGAUGAGCGUCAGACAGGUGCGCUCUCCGCUCAGUUCCCUCUGCCCCCCCUCCCGUUCUUUAAACGUUUGAAACCCCACCCCAAAGGUGGGGACAGAUCCCCUUUCUGUGUACCGUCACAAUGCCUCA
rnacentral:lncRNA from 1 species